UUGCUUCAGCAGCAGAUAUACUAACGUUGGGAAGACACGGAGAAAAUUCACCAUGGCUCUUACACAAAGAAUAACACACAUAUCCAUGACACAUUGCAUGUUUUC
rnacentral:snRNA from 1 species